rnacentral:rRNA from 1 species
GUGUAUAAGAGACAGAGUAUAGGCGGUAGAGCACUGAUCGGGCUAGGGGCCGUAAAGGUUACCGAACCCUGUCAAACUCCGAAUGGAUAUACUGUAGAGCCUUGGAGUCAGACUACGAGUGAUAAGAUCCGUGGUCAAAAGGGAAACAGCCCAGACCACCAGCUAAGGUCCCCAAUGUCGUACUAAGUGGAAAAGGAUGUGGGGUUUCAUAAACAACCAGGAUGUUGGCUCAGAAGCAGCCACCAUUUAAAGAGUGCGUAAUAGCUCACUGGUCGAGAGACCCUGCGCCGAAGAUUCCCGGGGCUAAAGUACGAAACCGAAGCUGUGGCUGUAUACGUAAAGUAUACGGGGUAGGGGAGCGUUCCCAUAGGGUAGAAGUCGAACUGGAAGGUUCGGUGGACUUGUGGGAAGUGAGAAUGUUGGUAUGAGUAGCGAAAAGAAAGGUGAGAAUCCUUUCCACCGAAAGCAUAAGGAUUCCUGAGCAACGAUCGUCGUCUCAGGGUAAGUCGGGACCUAAUCCGAGGCAGAGAGCGUAGGAGAUGGACAACUGGUUGAUAUUCCAGUACCGGUAGUAAUUGUUUGAGCAAUGGAGUGACACAGAAGGGCAGGCAAGCAUGCGAAUGGAAGAGCAUGUGUAAGCGUGUAGGGUGGUGCAUAGGCAAAUCCGUGCACUGAAAGCCUGAGGCGUGAUGCGGAGUGAGCAGAGAUGCGAGCGAAGUUGUUGACCCCACACUGUCGAGAAAAGCUUCUAGUGAGAGAGCUACCGCCCGUACCGUAAACCGACACAGGUAUGCGGGGAGAGAAUCCUAAGGUGCGCGGGAGAACCCUCGUUAAGGAACUCGGCAAAAUGUACCCGUAACUUCGGGAUAAGGGUAGCCACUGUUGUGAAGUCCCAUGCGGAUGGAGCAUAGAGUGGUCGCAGAGAAGAGGCCCAAGCGACUGUUUACCAUAAACACAGGUGCCUGCUAAAGCGAAAGCUGACGUAUAGGUGCUGACACCUGCCCAGUGCCGGAAGGUUAAGGAAGGAUGUUCGGAUUAGUCCAAAGCAUUCGACUGAAGCCCCGGUGAACGGCGGCCGUAACUAUAACGGUCCUAAGGUAGCGAAAUUCCUUGUCGGGUAAGUUCCGACCCGCACGAAUGGUGUAACGA